rfam:Trichinella zimbabwensis scaffold44s, whole genome shotgun sequence.
GCCGCGAUAGCUCAGUAGGGAGAGCGUUAGACUGAAGAUCUAAAGGUCGCUGGUUCGAUCCCGGCUCGCGGCA